rnacentral:tRNA from 1 species
CUUUGUUGUGGAUUUCACCAUAUUUAAAUCCUAAAUUUAAUACACUUUUCUGCCAACAAA